AACAAUGCAAAUUCAUACAAACAAUGUAUGAGAGUAUUUUUUCUUCUGAAACUCUGCUACUCUACUAGAAAGAAAAAAUGAUCUCUUAUUAAAUGUUGCUAAUGUGGUGGACCAUAAAGAUGAGAAAAUUAAUGCUGGGAGAUUUAAAAUGAAUUGCCCAAGAACACACAGUAUGGCAUUGGCAGAGCUGUGGGCAACUUCUGCUAUCCCUGUCUUGGAAUCCAGUCACCAUGUAAAAAAUGCCACUGCCCUGAGACCACCCACCACGCUGUUAAGAAGCCCAAGCAAGUGAAGUCACCGUAUACUAGAACAGUAAGAAGUCAUAUGAAGGGAGAGAAAGAGAGAGAGGGAGACGAAGGAUGAGGAGGAGGAAGAAGAACAAGAGGAGAAAAAGGUUAAAAGCAGAGGGAACAGGAGAGAAAGGAAGGGGAGGGGAGGGCAGGGAAGGGGAGGGGAGGACAAGAAGCACUGAGGUGCCAACCUAUGAGUUCAAAAGCCCUCGGACGGGCACGGUGGCUCAUGCCUGUAAUCCCAGCACUUUGGGAGGCCAAGGCGGGCAGAUCACGAAGUCAGGAGAUCAAGACCAUCCCGGCUAACACAGUGAAACCCCAUCUCUACCAAAAAAAUACAAAAAAAUUAGCUGGGCAUGGUGGCUGGCACCUGUAGUCCCAGCUAGUUGGGAGGCUGAGGCAGGAGAAUGGUGUGAACCCGGGAGGAGAAGCUUGCAGUGAGCGGAGUUGCACUCCAGCCUGGGCGACAGAGUGAGACACCAUCUCAAAAAAUAAAGAAAAUGAUAGUAAAAAAAAAAAAAAAGAAGAAGAAGAAGAAGAAGCCCUCAUCUUGGAAGUGCAUCCUCCACCCUAAGCUGUCCCCAGUGGGUAUCACAUGCAUCAGGGAAAAGCUGCCUAACCAAGCCCUUCAAAAUUUCUGACACACAAAAUUGUGAGAAAAGCCAGUUGGCGGUUUUGCAGUACUAAAAGUUACAGGAUAGCUUUUACAUAGAAAUAGAUAAUCAGGAAAAAUAAUGUGGAGAACAUCACUUAGGCAAGAAACUUCAGAAAAUGUUAAAAAUAUAGGUGGGAGGUCUUUUUCCUGGAGUAAGGAACAUGGAAGAAUAUCAUAGAAACAAAGCCUGUAUGGGGCUGAUUUAAGUGCCCUCAUGGAAAACUAAGUAGUAUGAACAUUGCUGUGCCCAUAACCUGGAUCCCUAAAUAUGGUGAAUGUGGCAGUGGUUAACAUGAUCUGAGCUAUGAGAGUUAACAGUCCAGACUGGAGAGCCAGACUGCCUCUGUUCUAACCCCGUUCUGCCUCAUACGAACUGUUAGCUUUAAGAAAAUUGCUUUGCCUCUAUGUUUCAGUAUAUCCAUCUAUAAAAUUGGCAUGAUAAUAUUAGCUACAGCAUAAGGUGUUAUGAAGAUUAAAUGAAUUAAUAUUUGCAUAGUGCUGAGGACAGUGACCAGCAUAUAGAUGCAUUAAGUUUCAGUUAAUUAUUCAAAAAUGAUUGAUUCAGACAUUUCAGGUUACAUAGAUAGGACUCAUUCACUUAUUUUCUGGGGGAGGUGCUUGGGGUAGCUUUUAUUUUUUAUUGUGAUAAUAUAUAUAACAUAAAACUUACCAUUGUAACCAUUUUAAAUUUAUAGGCCAGUGGCAUUAAGUAUAAUAUAUUUUUGUCAUUGUGCAAACAUACCACCGUUUAUCUCUAGAAUUUUUUUAAUUUUCCCAAACUGACACUCUAUACCCAUUAAACAAUAACCUCCCAUUUCCUCCACCCCUACGAACCCCUAUUCUACUUUCUGUCUUUGUGAAUUUGACUAUUCUAAGUACUACAUUCAAAUGCAAACAGACAGUAUUCGCCCCUUUGUGCCUGGAUUAUUUCACUUAGCAUAACAUUUUCAAGGUUCAUCAUGAUGUAGCAUGUGUCAGAAUUUCUUUCCUUUUUAAGGACACAGGAAGGGGAAUAUCACACUCUGGGGACUGUUGUGGGGUGGGGGGAGGGGGGAGGGAUAGCAUUGGGAGAUAUACCUAAUGCUAGAUGACGAGUUAGUGGGUGCAGCGCACCAGCAUGGCACAUGUAUACAUAUGUAACUAUCCUGCACAAUGUGCACAUGUACCCUAAAACUUAAAGUAUAAUAAAAAAAAAAAAAACAGGUUGGACAAUCAAUAAACUCCA